rnacentral:lncRNA from 1 species
AUGAUUUGCCCCAAAGGAGACUGAAUCCAAACAAGUCACAGGGCAGCAGGAGAGAUGAAGAAUGCUCAUGAAGAAAGAACUGACCCCCCAUUGGACUUUCUCAUAAACUGAUGACUCACUCCUGUUGCAAACAUUGGCUUCACUGAGAGUGCACGUUCUGCUGUCUCUAUAGCUUUGCCAAAAGUGGCCACAAUGGAUUGGCAAUAUCUUUAUUUGCUGAGAGGCAAUACUUUUGAUAGUUUACAAGGUGGCUAUAUCUAAUAGAGUCAUAAACAUCUAGGGUCAAAAUUGA